UACGUAGGGGGCUAGCGUUGUCCGGAUUUAUUGGGCGUAAAGAGCGUGUAGGCGGCCUGGUAGGUCUGCUGUGAAAACUCGAGGCUCAACCUCGAGAUGUCGGCGGAAACCAUCUGGCUAGAGUCCGGAAGAGGAGAGUGGAAUUCCCGGUGUAGCGGUGAAAUGCGCAGAUAUCGGGAAGAACACCCGUGGCGAAGGCGGCUCUCUGGGACGGUACUGACGCUGAGACGCGAAAGCGUGGGGAGCGAACAGG
rnacentral:rRNA from 1 species